ACCAGUCUUUUGUUUUGACUUCUGUCAGCACAAACGACUCAUCCAGCAGAAGCACUGGAGACCAUAUCAGCGUUCGAUCAAAGUUCGACCACCAGUCCCGCCAGUUUUUUGUUAGUUUGUCUGUACCGCGGUUGAAGCACCUCAUGUUUCUUCUUCUGGCUCGCACUGUGUUUCUACUCGUCAUAGGGACGAGAGUGAGGAUUUCCUCCCUGUAUCUGCUGACGACAACAUGAGGAAUACCGUCCAACAGUUGGCAGAUAGACUGGGGCUGCAGUCUUCCAUCACGCUGAGCUUCGUGGGGAGACUUUAACUGGAUGUUUCAACCACAGCGCCCCCUGCUGGGUCAACACGAUCUUCCACAAACUC